CAAUAGCGUAUAUUAAAGUUGUUGCAGUUAAAAAGCUCGUAGUUGAACUUCGGAACCGGUCGAUUGGUCCGUCCUCUGGAUUGUGUACUGAUCGAUCUGUUCUUCUUCGCGAAGACCGCGUGUGCCCUUAACUGGGUGUGCACGGGAUUCACGACGUUUACUUUGAAAAAUUAGAGUGUUCAAAGCAGGCAUUCGCUUGAAUAUCUCAGCAUGGAAUAAUAAUCUAGGACUUCGGUUCUAUUUUGUUGGUUUCUAGAUCUGAAGUAAUGAUUGAUAGGGAUAGUUGGGGGUGGCUAGUAUUAAGGGGCCGAGAGGUGAAAUUCUUGGAUUCUCUUAAGACUAACUUAUGCGAAAGCAUUCACCAAGGAUGUCUUCUUUAAUUCAAGAACGAAAGUUGGGGGAGUCGAAGACGAUUAGAUACCGU
rnacentral:rRNA from 1 species